CUAGGAUGAACGCUGGCGGCGUGCUUAACACAUGCAAGUCGAACGGAGCUUAGAAGGAAGCUUGCUUUCAUUUAAGCUUAGUGGCGGACGGGUGAGUAACGCGUGAGCAACCUGCCCUCGAGUGGGGAAUAACAUCGAGAAAUCGGUGCUAAUACCGCAUAAUGUCGAGAGACCGCAUGAUCUUUCGACCAAAGGAUUUAUUCGCUUGAGGAUGGGCUCGCGUCCGAUUAGCUAGUUGGUGAGGUAACGGCCCACCAAGGCUUCGAUCGGUAGCCGAACUGAGAGGUUGAUCGGCCACAUUGGGACUGAGACACGGCCCAGACUCCUACGGGAGGCAGCAGUGGGGAAUAUUGGGCAAUGGGCGAAAGCCUGAACCCCAGCAACGCCGCGUGAAGGAUGAAGGUCUUCGGAUUGUAAACUUCUUUGAUUGGGGAAGAAUAAAAUGACCUACCCAAAGAACAAGCCACGGCUAACUACGUGCCAGCAGCAGC
rnacentral:rRNA from 1 species